rnacentral:rRNA from 1 species
CUGGCGGCGUGCUUAACACAUGCAAGUCGAGCGGAAAGGCCACUUCGGUGGUACUCGAGCGGCGAACGGGUGAGUAACACGUGNAGUAAUCUGCCCUCCACUUUGGGAUAAGCCCCGGAAACGGGGUCUAAUACCGGAUAUGACAGCUUGGCGCAUGCUGGGUUGUGGAAAGUUUUUUCGGUGGGGGAUGUGCUCGCGGCCUAUCAGCUUGUUGGUGGGGUAAUGGCCUACCAAGGCUUCGACGGGUAGCCGGCCUGAGAGGGUGACCGGCCACACUGGGACUGAGACACGGCCCAGACUCCUACGGGAGGCAGCAGUGGGGAAUAUUGGACAAUGGGCGGAAGCCUGAUCCAGCAACGCCGCGUGAGGGAUGACGGCCUUCGGGUUGUAAACCUCUUUCAGCGGGGACGAAGCGCCGGUAAUGGUGGUGACGGUACCCGCAGAAGAAGCACCGGCCAACUACGUGCCAGCAGCCGCGGUAAUACGUAGGGUGCGAGCGUUGUCCGGAAUUAUUGGGCGUAAAGGGCUCGUAGGCGGUUUGUCGCGUCGGGAGUGAAAACACCGGGGCUUAACUCGGUGCUUGCUUUCGAUACCGGGCAGACUAGAGGCAUGCAGGGGAGAACGGAAUUCCUGGUGUAGCGGUGA